CCCGGGCGCGGUGGCAUGUGCCUGUAGUCCUCAGGAGGCUGAGGUGGGAGGAUCGCUUGAGUCCAGGAGUUCUAGGCUGUAGUGUGCUAAGCUGAUUGGGUGUCUGCACUAAGUUCGACAUCAAUAUGGUGACCUCCCGGGAGCGGGGAACCACCAGGUUGCCUAAGGAGGGGUGAACCGGCCCAGGUCGGAAAUGGAGCAGGUCAAAACUCCUGUGCUGAUCAGUAGUGGGAUCGCGCCUGUGAAUAGCCACUGCACUCCAGCCUGGGCAACCUAGCCAGACCCCAUCUCU
rnacentral:SRP_RNA from 1 species